CAUGAACUGAAACCCCUGAAAUGGCCCCAGGACAGCUUCUCUUGGAGACUCAGCUCAUUGGUGUUUUCCCCAAUUUCAAGAUCACAGAAUGAAUGAAGCCCAAGAGGAAGGGGCCAAGGAGAGCAACUGGGAUUUGUAGGAGCUGGACCCUUGGGCCAGUCUGUUCCUCUCAAGAUGCUAGAAGAAGAGUUCCUG